rnacentral:lncRNA from 1 species
CAGUUUACUUUUCCUGAAACUGAUAUUUUCUUUUGUGGCUUUUCCGCGAGGUGAUCAACUCGACAGCAUUGUCACCUGCAGCCAUGCGAGACCUUCUAAGGCAGAACCUUGAGGAUCUCCAAGCAUGUCUCGAACUUCUGUCCAGGUACACACUUAGUUAGAAAAUCUGCAGGGUUGAUAGAUGUGUGAAUCUUGUGAACCGUAACAUCGCCAGCCUCAAUUACGUCUCUCAUAAAGUGUAGUCUAGUAUCUAUAUGCUUAGUCCUUUCAUGGAAUCCUCCAUUCUUAGCUAAGUGUAUAGCACUCUGUGAAUCUGAAAACACUCUCACAUCAUCUUGCUUGAAUCCCAAUUCACUAACAAACCCCUUAAGCCAUAAUGCUUCUUUAAAAGCUUCGGCUAAUGCCAUGUAUUCUGAUUCUGUCGUUGAUAGUGCGACAAUAUGUUGGAGACCUGAUCUCCAGCUUAUUGUGUUGCCUCCGACUUGAAACACAUAUCCUGUCACGGAUCUUCUUCUGUCCAAAUCGGUUGCGUAGUCUGCGUCACAGAAUCCUCGUACUUUGAAAUCUUCUCCUUUAGUAAACAAUAGAUCCGAAUCUAGAGCUCCUUUAAGAUAUCUCAUCACCCACUUAACAGCUUCCCAGUGUAUUCUUCCUGGCUUGCUCAUAUAACGGCUGAUUAAGCCCACUGCGAAACAUAAGUCUGGUCUAGAUCCCACCAUUGCAUACAUUAAACUUCCAACGGCUGAUGCAUAUGGAAUCACAUUCAUGAACCUUGCUUCCUCGUGCUCUUCCUUUUGUGUCAAACUUUUAAGCUUGAAUUGUGGUCCGAUAGGAGUAACCACAGCUUUGCUCUCUGCCAUGUUAAAAGUUUCCAGCACCUUCUGUAGAUACUUCCCUUGCGAUAGUUUUAGAGUUCCUUUCUUCCUGUCUCUAAUAAUAUCCAUUCCAAGUAUUCUUGAAGCUGCUCCAAGGUCCUUCAUCUCAAACUCUCUCUUCAAGCUAUCUUUGAUUCUUUUAAUUUCUUUAGAAUCCUUAGAUGCUAUGAGCAUGUCAUCAACAUAGAUCAAGAGAUAAACCAUAUGAGAUAAGUCUGAACCUUUCAUGUAGACACAAGGAUCAUAUGCACUUCUUUCGAAGCCUUGUUGCUUCAUGAAACUAUCAAAUCUCCUAUUCCACUGUCUUGGUGAUUGUUUUAAUCCGUAAAGUGAUUUCAACAGGAGACAAACUUGAUCUUCUUUUCCCUCCUCAACGAAACCUUCUGGCUGUGCCAUAUAUAUCUCCUCGUCUAACGUUCCGUAUAGGAAAGCCGUUUUCACGUCUAGUUGUUCCAAAUCAAGAUCAUAAUUUGCAACAAGUGACAGCAUAAUUCUGAUCGACACGUGUAUCACCACUGGUGCAAACACCUCUGUGUAGUCGAUCCCUUCAACUUGUGAAAACCCUUUAGCUACUAAUCUAGCUUUGUAUCUCGGCUUCUCUACUCCAGGAAUGCCUUCUUUCAGCUUGAAAACCCACUUGCUGCCAAUAAUCUUCUUUUUCUCUGGUUUCUCAACCAGCUUCCAAGUCUGAUUUUUCUCCAACGAAUCCAUCUCUUCUUGCAUUCCCUCGUUCCAUAACUUCUAGCUCUUACUUCUUCUUGCUUCCAAAUAGGAUUUAGGCUCAUCCUUAUUUAUUUCUUCUGCUGUAGCUAGAGCAUAAGCCACGCAAUCUGAAUCAUCAAACCUAGAAGGUUUCUUUACUUCCCUCCUGAUUCUAUCUCUAGCAAGAAUGUAGUUGUCUAGAUUUUCCUGUUGAGCUCCCACAACUUCUUCUUCACUUUCUGAGCUUGCGGAUUCAGGUUCCGAGUUUUCUGAUGCUGGAGAAACUCCACCUUGAACUGUAUCCUCUGUUUCAGUGUCUGUAGUUGUGUUUGAAGGUCCUUGAAUCAGCACAGGAUUGAACGUUACCUUUUUCGUUUUCCUCUUCUUCUCGCUGAUUCCUUUAAUGUCUUUAAACAUCUCUUCCUCAUUGAAAAUCACGUUUCUGCUUACUGUACAUCUUAGUUCUUCUGGUAACCAAACUCGAUAACCUUUAGUCCCGUCUGGAUAUCCCAUGAAAACUCCUUUCAUCGCUCUUGGACUGGUUUUGGCUUGAGUCACGUGAACAUAAGCUGUACAUCCGAACUUCCUUAGAUGAUUUAAGUCUGUUUUGGUUCCAGACCACACCUCUGCCGGUAGUUUGAAGUUAAUAGCUGUACUGGGAGAUCGGUUGAUUAAGUAGACAGCUGUAGAAGCCGCUUCUGCCCAGAACUUUUGCGCUAAGCCUGCCUCUGUCAACAUACAUCUCACCUUCUCCAUAAUCGUACGGUUCAUGCGUUCUGAUACUCCGUUUUGUUGUGGAGUAUAGACGCAUGUUCUGUGUCUUUUAAUCCCUGCUUCCUUACACAAUGUGUCCAUCUGUGUAUUGCAGAACUCUAAUCCGUUAUCUGUCCUAAGACACUUCACCUUCUUUCCUGUCUCAGUCUCCACGCAUGUUUUCCAUUCCUUGAAGUUUUGAAACACUUCAUUUUUUGAUUUUAGGAAAUAGAUCCAAACUUUCCUAGAAAAAUCAUCAAUGAAUGUAACAAAAUAGAAACAUCCUCCGAGACUCUCUACCACCGAAGGUGAACCCCAUAAAUCUGAAUGGAUGUACUCUAGGACUUCCUUAGUCGUGUGCUUGCCUUUUGGAAAGCUUAGCUUGUGUGCUUUGCCCAAAACGCAAUUCUCGCAAAACUCUAACGUCUUCACAUCCUUUUCGUUUAAAUAUCCGUCCUUGACUAAAAUAUUCAUGCCCUUUAGACUCAUAUGUCCAAGCCUAGAGUGCCACCUUUUAGUCAAAUCGAUAUCAGGCCUUGCGACUGCAGCUUCACCAUCCAAUACUGUCCCUUGUAAGUAGUACAGACCAUCACAGUAUUUUCCAGAAAUAACCUUCUUAUCUCCUUUGUAAAACUGCACCAUGAAGUCUUUGCCUUCGUAUCUGCAUCCCAUCUUUUCCAAUAAACCGUAGGAGAUAAGGUUUCUGCCCAUUGUAGGCAUGUAACGAACAUCAGUGAGAAUCACGCUCGAUCCAUCAUCAUUCAUGAUCCUGAUUUUCCCGAUCCCUUUAAUCUCGCUGAUAGUGUUAUUUCCCAUCAAAACCUUUCCUCCUUCUAUGUCUUCAAGAUCAAAUAAGACAUCUUUAUUUGGGGUGAUAUGGAAUGUACAGCCAGAAUCAAGUACCCACUCGUCCUUAGUAGCUUGCUGGCUAGCCACUAAUACCAAUGGUUCCUCCUUCUCUUCUGCUAUAUAUGUUGACCGAAUUUGAUGGCUUCUUUCUUUCUGGACACUGCUUUUUAAAAUGUCCUUCCUUGCCACACGUCCAACAUUCUUUAGAGAACUUAGGUCUUGAUUUUGAUCUGUUAUUGCUUUUAGAUCUAGCUCUCCAAGUUUUAUCGCUCUUCUUCUCCCCUCUGCCUCUGUUGUCGCCAGCAAACAGCCCCUCCGAGUUACCUUUGGACUUGUUGAGAAGUCCCUUCUCUCUUAAUUCUACUUCCUUAGAAUAAGCUGAGCUUGUAACAUCACGAACCGUUAAAAUUUCUUUGCCGCUGCCGUAUUUUAAUGCAUCAACGAGAGACUCGUAUUGCUUGGGCAAGCUGGUUAAGAUCUGAAUUGCUUGAUCUUCUUCACUGAUCUUAAUAUCCAGACUUGCUAGAUCAGCCACAAGUUUCAGAAACACAUCCAUAUUUUCCUCAAUGGACUUGUGCUCUUCCAUUCUAAAACCUGCAUAUCUCUGCUUCAUGUAGAUUCGAUUUGGUAAUGUCUUGGUCUGAUACUCAGCUUCUAGAGCCUUCCACAUAGCCAGUGCUGUAGGCUCUUGCAUAACCUUGCGCAGAAUAAGGUCAGAUAGACACAAACUGAUCAGAUUCUUUGUACGCAAUUCCCGGUCUUGCUCCUUAGGAUCAGGUUUUUCAUCUUUCUGUUCUUCACCUUCAACAUCCGUAGAAGGAGUUUUCUCCUUAAGAACAGACCCCAAACCAAAGAUCUCUAACUGACACAGCAUCUUAUAUUUCCAUAGACCAAAAUCACCUUUGCCAUCGAAUUUUUCCACUUCAAAUUUCUUUGAAAUUGCUUCCAUCUUUCUUAUAACCCGUAAACUUAUUUUCUUUUGUUUGCAGGUUGCUGUAACACGCCGUAGUCUUCAAGCUUCAAUCACCAACGAGCUGAGUCUUCUUCUCCGCACCAGAUAAGAAUUCUCCUUGCUUGUUUAUUGAAUCUUGCCCUCGAAUCUCUGUAACUAGGAUCUCUGUUAGCCUAAGCUCUGAUACCACUUGUAGAGAAUCGACCUUGGCUGUUUCUUGUAACAAGUAAAUCGACACAACAAUAUGUUGGGCGAGUCCUCUCCAAACCGGAGACAAACUCUAUAUCACUAUGAAUCGAAAACGUUACAAGCUUCGCACUAGUUGCGUGUUCUAUGCUUUAGAGAGUUUUAUGUUUCUGUGUCUCACAACUUUGAGUAGAGACCUCUAUUUAUACUAGACCUAAUCAUGUUAAUCCUUGUUGUAUAAGGAAUAACAUAUAUCCUAA